CGGGGUGCACCAGGCGCGAAAACUUUGCAAUGCUCGAAACUGUGAUAGGGUUAUCCCGAGUGCCAACCGCUGAGGUUGGCUUUUACCCAGUCUAAAAAGCUGGGGGAAUAAGGAGAGGGCAAGUCUGGUGUCAGCCGCCGCGGUAAUACCAGCUCUCCCAGUGGUGUGGAUGUUUAUUGGGCCUAAAGCAUCCGUAGCUGGCUGGACCAGUCCUCUGUUAAACCCACCGAUUUAAUCGUUGGGGUGUGGGGGAUACUGCUCGGCUAUGGGACCAGAGAGGGUUACGGUAUUCCCGGGGUAUGGGUGAAAUCCUAUAAUCCCGGGAAGACCACCCUUGGGGAAAGCUGUCUGCUAGAAAGCGCCCCACAGUGAGGGAUGAAAGCUGGGGGAGCGAACCGGAUUAUAUGCCCGGGUAGUCCCAGCUGUAAACAAUGCAUACUAUGUGUUUGGACGGCCACGUGCCGUUCUAGUGCCCCAGGGAAACUGUUAAAUCUGCCCCCUGGGGAAUACGAUCGCAAGAUUGAAACUUAAAGGAAUUGGCGGGGGAGCACAAA
rnacentral:rRNA from 1 species